GACGUGAAGUGGCUUCACGGCGGAGUUUAUGAGGUUUAGUUGGUGAAGCGUGAGGAAUGGCUGAAGUAAAACGGGGCGAGGUCGGAGUGGUUUAAGGCGGAGAAAAGAGGGGCUGAGAGGUUUAAGAGAGUGUGCCGGUGGGAGAUGAGGUGAGAUUGGUGAGAAGAAAGGGUGUGAGGGAGAGUGAAGGCUGCUCAGGAGCAUUAAGUGGGAAGAGGUUAGCCAGUUGAAUAUACAGCCCACGGAAACAGCCUUAUUUUCCGAAAAAGAGUUCCGACCCGAAACGUCAACUUUGCUGUUCCUCUAGCUGCUGCCUGGCUUGCUGUGUUCUUCCAGCCUCCUGUUUGUCUAUAUUUAAUAGGUGUUGAUGAGACAAUGCUGAAAGGUUUCGGAUAGAACAGUGUGUCGAAAGUUUCAGUAGAACGGUUUUUGGGACUGUCCGGCUCUUCGGGUCAGCUGAGUCAAUAGGGAAAUUAUAAUACCUAAUACUGCCUUUCGUAACACCCUUUCUGGGGGCAGAAGCACAUUCACUAGAUUAACUGAAUUAUAUUACUUACAGUAUCAAGCUGUUGUAGCUUAAUAGCUACAACGGAAUCUACAUGUCAGUUAACAUGUCAACAUUGUGAACAAUAGUAAGCUACUGUAUUUGAGUGUAGUCCAUGGAAUUAUAUUUAAAGGGCCCACUUGAAUCAAAGGGGUUGACACCCCAGUGACAAAGUCAGCCUAAAGAGCAGGAACCUUGGAAGAGAGAGCAACAGCCUCAACCUCAGUUCAGCCACUGUAACCAGGGUAGUAGAUGUUGCCUGGCCUGCUGUGUUCCUCCAGCUCCACACUGUGUUAUCUCUGACUCCAGCAUCAGCAGUUCUAACUAUCGCUCACAGAAACUGCUGUUUUCUCCACACUGCUUUAUUGGGAGCUCUGUUGUAACCAUGCUUUGGGUUGGCUGGGCAUUUAGUGUCAAGAGGUCGCACUGUCUUGUUAGACUGCUGCUGCUGCUGUUGUGUCCCAUGUAUCUUUAGCUUGAAUGAUGCUCACUCACUCUCAGUAAUUCUGAAAAUUCUUCAUUUACAUGGGUACAUGCUUAUAAUGGAGAAAUGCAGCUGUCUAAUGUAGUGUUUCUCUUUUGCCACUCUUCAAGUCUCAAUCAUUUCUCUGCUUUGCUUAUGUCAGAGUAGCAUGGUCAUUUACACCAUCAUUUAAUUUCUGUGCUGCAAAAAUUCUGAUUUGAUAUUAAGCUUUUAUUACAUUGUAUAUGUGCCCCUCCUAAAACCAUGCUUCUCUGUCUGCUUCCAUAAUCCCUUUUGCUUCCUAGUGCUUGUUGUGGUCAAGAUUGUUAUGAAGUAUGUUAGGAUCAUUAAAGUAGACUGGAAUCAGUAUGAAGCAAACCAGAAACAGUGUGAAAGACAUCAAGAUCACCAAAACACACAGCCACAUGAGAUGAUAGAUGUUGAUGCAAAGAACAAGGUGAGAAAGUUGCUGCAUUUAAUUCUUGUGAAUGAAGUCGACCAAUGGAUCAAGUGUCGGUCAUUGCACAUUACUGAAGUGGAAGAAAUUCAUGGAAAUAAUCUGCACUGUACUUGAUGCAAAACCCAAGCUACUAAUUCUAAGACGAAGAUGCAACUAAUCAUUUAUGCUGUGAUGGAGCAGUGUAUAGUGGAGUUGGGAUGCAAUCCUGGACAUGUUGGUUUUGGGAUGUGUUGGAAACGCCUAAGUACAGUCCACAGGAAGUGAGGAACACUUACCAAAGGAGUUCUGCCACAAAUGUCAGUCUUGAGCUGACAUUGGUAGGGUUAUAGGAACACAUGACUCAUGUACCCUGUGGGCAGGGAUCAUAUGUGACACAGUAAACAUUUCUGUUAAAGGAGGAAACUAACAAGAAUUAGAAGGAAUCCCAGUCUUUUUAAGAAAAGAAGCCAAAUAGAUCAACUAUGACAUCAAAAGAGAAAGUACUGGAAACACUACACAGGUCUGACAGCAUUUCUGGAGAUGGAAAGAAAGUUAACAGCUCAGAUCAAUUGCACUUCAGUAGAGUGAAACUGAUAUGUGUUUACAAGGUCUACCAUCUUGAGUAAAAGCUGCCAGCAAUGUCAGAAUGGAAGCAAGCAUCUACAGAAUCACUAAAAAGUGAAGCAAGAUGUCCUGUUUUUUUCUAUGACCUUAUCAGUCUGAGAUAACUGUGUCAGACAGCAUCAACGAUACUUGUUUUAUAACUGCCACCUCUGGCUGGUGAAGAAGAUCCUUUCAUCACCGUACAAAUUUUUAGGUGCCAUUGCCUUCAGGAUUACAGCUAUUGCCAGAUGAGUGUUUGUCUGUCUCCUUCACUUUAUUGUUCACACAGCCCCAAGUACCCAGAAUCAAAGGCAUUAUAUAUACGUCCCCCAUGAAUAUACUUAAGGCUGAUUCUUGGUAUGAAGUUCACUUAAGCAUUGAAAAUCGAGUUGAGGGAGGAGUAUCUGAGUGCGGUAUUUAAAACCAUAGAAUCCCUAUUGUGUGGAAACAGGCCAUUUGGCCCAAUGAGUUCACACUGACUCUCUGAACAGCAUCUCAACUAGACCCAUCCCCCUAUCCCUGUAAUGCUACAUUUCCCAUAGCUAAUCCACCUAACCUAAAAAUCUCUGGACACUAUACACAAUUUAGCACGGCCAAUCCACCUAACAUGCACAUCUUUGAACUGUGGGUGGAAAUGCCACACAGAUUGUCACCCAAGGCUCGGAUAAAACCCUGGUCCCUGGCACUUUGAGGCAGCAGUGCCAACCACUGUGUCACCAUGCUACCAAAAAGCUUUGGUAAAGUUGACGUACACAUUGUGCAACCAGACUUUUGGGCAUUGAUUCCAUGUUAUGGAAGGUAAAGAAACUGAAACAGCUACAGGGAUAAAAGGAGUUCAUCCUUCCUUCUUUUCUCAAAGCACGUUAUACACAAAGUGUUACACAAUGUAUAUUUUAAUGUCAAAACUCUAACAUUUGUAAAGCAGAAGUGAAAUCACAGAUUCAAGAGCAGCACUUUUAACAGUCAUGAUCAGAGAUACAAACAGUAAAAAAGGUACAAACAUACAAUGUUCAUAAGGCCUGUGCACCAAGGGAUAUCCGACGUGUAACAAUAAGUUGUAAAUGCAGUAACCAGACAGUGACAGCUCUCUGCAAGAAUAUUCUGUGAAUGGCUUGUGGGAUGGAGAGUGAGUAAUGAAACAAUGAAUUGUCUCACAACUCAUAAACACAUCAAGUUUGAACAAAAUAAUUUGAGAUGGGAAGAGACAGAUGUGUUAAUUGAAUACAACCAGACAUAAGGUUAUACUUUGAACUGCACAACCUCCAUUCAUAGUUACAAGAGUAAAAUGCUCUAGAUGGUGGAAGUCUAUUUUUUUAAAAUCAGUGCUAUAUUCCUUUCACAGUAUCCACAAAAUGUACCCAGAAAUCCUCACUUGUGUAACAAGGAGUUGUAGUCAGUACAAACAAAAUGAAAUGGCCUGUUAACAUUUUAUGUAUCCUGAGUGUAUUUAUCUUUUCACAUUCAGCAUUUACAAUGUGGGAUUAUUUCUUAAAAUCUGUAAUGGAUAGUGUCUCAUUCAUUGUUUUUUAAUUCUUUCUUUUAGGGAAACGUUUUUCUAUCCAAUCUUCAAUGAAUCGUGAGAUCACUAGUUGGCUAAAAUUUAUUUUGUGUUCUCUUUUCCCCCCCUUCUCCUCAUGCCUUGGUCAACCCAUAACAGGGCGCAGUUCCACGUGUCAAAACUUAAACUUAAUAGGGCUUUCUAUAAAUAGAUGAUGCAUGCUUGAAAGCUGUUUGGCCAUCAUUUUGAGCCCGUGCUCUCCUUGUCCAAAAUCCACUUAUAACUGGAUUCAUUGGAUAUUGAUCAGCAGUCAUGGUUUCUCCACUAAUUUGGCAAACUCUGAGGCCCAGUUGCUCCACCCACAGGCCAAGGUUCAGGAAUCAUUAGCCAGUUUAUCAUCAUCCCUUAAUAAUUUCUAAAAAUGCCUGUUACAUCCACAGAUAUACCGUAUCAGAGAGCUAUGCAAUGUAUUGUUAUUGUAUUUAAUAUUUAAUUUGGGAAAAGUUCUAAUUCCAACAUUGAUUGGAUCCUGUGGAAUUGGUUAACUGGGAUCAUAGCUCCACACCUCUCAGUAAAAUGAUCACACGUGUCUAAGGGACAAGAAUCACCAAUAUAUUAAAUGCAUGCAACCAUUACAAAACAGCACUUGAAAUUUUUCACUUUGGGAAGACAUCAUACACUAUCAGAUUUUAAAAUGCUGAUCACAAAUUUAUGCAUGCAGUAUAGACUUUCCUCAAAAUAAUGUCACAUUUUAAAAAUCUAAUUUCUAGGUUGCACUAACCUUGAAAGCUUGCCAUGAUGACAGGACUUUAUUUUUAGAAUGAUUGAAAGAGCAGGAAUAAAGAAGCUAAGUACUCUGGUGGGGAAUCCAGAAGAAGACAUAAUUUCAAAAUUACAGUUCAGUCAUUUAGGCAUGAAAUGAGGGAGCAUUUCUUCAUUCAGAAAGCUGUUAAUGCUGGGGUCAUUGAAGAUUUCAAAACAUAUUGGCAUACUAACAAAUGUUGAGGGAUAUGGAGAAAAUGCAUGAAUUGGAAUUGCAGUAAAGAUUAGCAAAAUGUGAUUGAAUGACCACUGUUUCUAUGACAUUUAUAAUGAGAGGUUCCAGCUCAGAAGAGAUGUACAGAACAUAGGUGGUGGUUGAAGGAGAGUGUAAAGAGGUUACCAAUUUCAUUAGUCAAUCCGAGUUUAAAAUAUCUGUCUUAGACAGUGGGAUUACUAAGAUUAUAACAUGGAUGUGAAGUGGUUUUGGAUACAUACCAAUUAAAAACAAAAUUGCAACAGAGCUAACCACUGGAGCUCAUGACAGACUAAAAUGCUUCUUGAGAAUAGGGAUCUACAAAUUGAAUAGAAUUUAACUCCAGACUAUAUUGCUAUGGAGAUGCUGUCAAUUUAUAGAUUUCAAAUUAUUUCUACUUUUUCUUUAUCGGAAAAGCAAAGCUGAUGUUUGUUGCCCAUCCCUAGGUGGCCUUGCAGCGACUCCUAGCUGGGCAUUGAUGUGCAAAAGAAAUACAAUCAGAAGCCAAAAAGGGAAGAAAAUGUUCAUUGGUUGAGAGAAACAAGUAUGUGGACUUGAUGGAAUCAAAGAACAGGCUAUGGAGUGGGUGAAUGGCAGGUAGGGGUUGGGAGACAGGAGACCAACUCUGGAGAGACACUGUGUUCUCCACCCCCUUUCUUUUCUGACAAAAGGAGAAGUACAAGUUUAAGAACCCAGGUAAUGUAAUAAAAAGUUGUAGCAGCCUCAACAGGGUCUAGGCAGAGAUAUGUAAAACAGGGGCGCGCACACUAUUGCAGCAUUGUGAUUUGGCCUUGUUAUAGUUCUGAUCUCCAAUUGAAAUAGGUAGGGAUGUGAGACAAUAGUGAAGCUUUACAUGAGUUGCAGUUGAAGCUCCCCCCUCAAAAAGCAGAAGGGGUUAUUGCGGAAUGAGACAACUGAACAAAUUAUUGUGGGAGUGGUUUAAAAAUAUAUAGUGCUUUGAAUUUCAUACAUUGGACUGAUUCCAAGUGGGGCCAGUAAACAAAAAUGACAGUGAAAGUACCUUCCUCCCGCUAAUUCUCUUGGUGCCCUUGGUACACCCAUUUAACAUCCUGGAGCUCCCAGCAAUUGGUCAGUGCCACUGAAAUGCAGCAGAGCCCAUGCACAUGUGUACUUCAAAUAACUAGACUUUUAAAUGCCGGUGGCAUCAUAGGGCAGAUUGCAUUUGGAGAUUAUGGGCAAGGCAAAUGUAAGUCAUUUCAGACAAUUCUGUGUAAAAUAUCUAUCCUGACAGAGCAGCACCAUAUCAGAUAUAGGUUAUCCAUCUGCUCCCUCAGCUCAAGGGAAGGGGAAAGUGAUGUGGAUGUUGUGAUAAUUUUGCUGAAUGCUGGAGGAUUAUCGGAGGCAUCUGAUAAACACUUCAAUCAGUCCACGUCUCAUCCCUGGUUAUUACUCUGGUUAGUACAAAAUAAUUUCAAUACUUGAUCAGUGAAUGAGUGUUACAGGUAUUUCUUGAGUGCUGUGUUGGACUGGGAAAAAAUAUCAAUAGUGUAUAAAAGGCUGCUGAAUCUUUCAAUGAAACCUGAAAAUGAUCUGUGAUUGAUGGAUCGUAAUAUAAAAUGCAUAGGUACAGGCAUAUUAAACAAUCAAGUACCAAAAUAUUAUUUUCAACAUUUAACCCAUUACUGAGGCACAGUUUCAUUUGAAAAAAAAAUUGCAUUCUGGUUGAGGACCUUGGAGCUGAGUGCACUUCUGAAGUUCAGAGAUUUCAGAAUACAACAAUAAACACAUUGAAUUCCCCACAAUUAAAUCACAUGCAUAAUUUCCAGAAGUUAAGCCAGCUGCUGAGAAAACAACAGAGCCGUCAAAAAAACUGAAACAGUUAUUGUGAGGGUAGGACUGUUUGAAGUUUGCAUCACAUAUAGACGGUGGUUAAAAAGUCAUUUAGCACUCUUCCCUUCAAUGCUCAGUCCUUUGAGUAUGGGAGUUGGGAAGUCACGCUGAGGUUGUACAGGACAUUGGUGAGGCUUGUUCUGGACUACUUUAUGCAGUUCUGGAUGCCCUGUUUAAGGAAGGAUUUUAUUAAGCUGGAGAGGAUUCAGAAGAGAUUUACCAGGAUAUUGCCAGAUAUGGAAGGUUUGAAUUAUAAAGAAAGAUUGGAAAGGUGGGAAUUUUUCCACUGGAGCAUAGGAAGUCAAGAGGUGUACUUAUAAGGGUUUAUAAAAUCAUGAGGGGUAUAGAUGGGGUUAAUGGUAGGUGUCUUUUCCCUAGGAUGGGGGAUUUCAGAACAAAGGGGCAGAUUUUUAAGGUGAGAGGAAAGAGGAUUAAUAAAGAUAUCAGGGCAAACCUUUUAUAUAGAGGGUGGUUUGCAUGUGAGUGAACUUCCUGAGGAAGUCGUGGAUGUGGGCACAGUUACAACGUUUAGUAAGUACAUGAAUAGGAAAAGUUUGGAGAGAUAUGGGCUUGGAACAGGCAGGUGGGACUAGUUUAAUUUGGGAUUACGUUCAGCAUGGACUGGUUUGACCAAAGGUUCCAUUUCCAUGCUGUAUGACUCUAUGACGUCCAUGUAGGGGAAGGGAUUACGGACCACCUCUCUAGAGGAAGAGUCACUGAACCCUUUAAUGUGGACUGAUACCACUAACCUCCAUGUGGACUAGAGUCACUGAAGUCCUUCAUGUGGGCCAGGGUCACUGUCCUCCAAUAUGUGGGUUUGGGUCACUGACCUCCUCCAAAUGGUAUGGUGUUGUUGACCUCUACUGUAAGGGGAAGGCACUGACUUUUAACUGUUUUUCAUUGGAUUUUUUGUAUACUGAGCUCCAGAAGAAGGGGAUCUCCAUAUAAUUGUGUGUGGGGGGAGGUGGUGUUGGGAGUUACAUGCUCUCUCUAACCUAGGAUCAGGAAUACAGGGGUGAGCAAGGGUCGGACAGUUGAAUCAUUGAUUAGUUAAUUUGGUAAAACAUUUGAUCAUACAAGUGGGUUAAAGGCCCUGUGGUACUAUACUGACACUAUUUUCAGACCUCUAAUUUGUGAAGGUACUGGGCAAAAGCGAACUGAUUUGAAGAACAUUAUGUUGGGAGCACUGCCCUCUGGGUUCUGAGAAAACUUACAGUGUAGCAAGCUGUGUGUGUGAUACACCAUGAUUCCCAUGGUGCUUAGUACAACCUUUAAUUGCUAAAAGAUAAAUCUGUCACAGUGGACUUGUGGGUGGCAUUGUGUCUUCACAUUCUGUUUGCAGUAAAGCUCAGUUAAAAUAUCUGGCACAACCAUUUCACUGUGACAAAGCCACUCCAUUUAAAGACGAUAUAUAUUGUUGAGAGUAUAUUGUGCAAUUGCAAACUGAUCCCACUAGGUGGGCUAUCGUUCCAAAGACAUAGCAAUGUAUAGAUGAGGGGAGAAUUGCUGUGUGUAACACAGGAUUGUUGGGUGGUCAUAUGCAGCCCAGUGAUCCCAGUGUUAAUCUGGCCUGUAACUUGGUACUGCUUUUACUUUAGUUCCUUAUUUCCAGUUUGAAUUGUGUGGUAUGGAGUUGGAGUGGGCUGUUGAGCCCUAUUGCCACAUUGGUAGCUAAGUCCUAAAUCAGAAUGAUGAGGUUUGGUUGUCACCUGGAAGUAACAUUUAAAUCCAGUCAGCAAGAUAUUCUCUGGUUGGUCUUUGUAACACCUGCUGUAUAUGUGAUGUUUUCAAAGUUCUUCUGACCAGAGGAGAUCCUAAUGACCAUUUUUACAAUGUCACUGCACACAGUGACAACAGCAAUCCUUCCCCCAUGUUAGCAAUAGCCCCUAAAUUAUACACUAAAGCUGAUCAAGGAAGUGCAGCUGCUACGUCCUUAGUUAAAGAGAGACACGGUUUCAGAGCUUCACAUUUUGCUUGCUGCCAACCAGCUGCUCCUUCCCCAAGAGUGGUGUCAUCAUUACUUGGCGUCACUCUCUGCUGCCUUCUGCUGCCACAGUUCCUUGUGCUGUUUGCGGCCAAAGCCCUCGUCAUAGUUCCCUUUGCUCUUGAACAGCUGUUGGAAAUGAGGCUUGCAGUAAAA